UGGGGAAUUUUGGGCAAUGGCCGCAAGGCUGACCCAGCGACGCCGCGUGCGGGAUGACGCCUCUCGGGGUGUAAACCGCUGUCAGAGGGGAAGAAUGAGUCAGGUGUAAAUAAUGCCUGGCUGUGACGGUACCCUCAAAGGAAGCACCGGCUAACUCCGUGCCAGCAGCCGCGGUAAUACGGAGGGUGCAAGCGUUGUUCGGAUUUACUGGGCGUAAAGCGCGCGCAGGUGGGUGUGCAAGUCGGAAGUGAAAUCCCAGGGCUCAACCCUGGGGCUGCUCCCGAAACUGCUCGCCUAGGGACUGGUAGAGGCUGGUAGAAUUCCCGGUGUAGCGGUGGAAUGCGUAGAGAUCGGGAAGAAUACCUGUGGCGAAGGCGGCCAGCUGGGCCAGAUCCGACACUGAGGCGCGAAAGCGUGGGGAGCAAACAG
rnacentral:rRNA from 1 species